GGCAGGCCCGCAGGGACACGGGCUGCCCUUCCCUUCCCUUCCCUUCCCUUCCCUUCCCUUCCCAAACCCCCAGCCCUCCUCCUCCCGAAGGAGAAGCGGUGUCUGAGCCCCCUACCCGUGUCAGACCCCCGGGUUUGGGUUUCGCUGCUCCAGCCCAGCGUGCUGCGGCUGUGCCCUGUUUAUUGAAUUCAUCCCUGUUGGCCUCCGUUUCAGGGUGUUGCAGGAAAAUAAGGAGUCACAGCCACUUCCCUGAACUGGGCAGGUUUUGAAGGAAAAAAUAAAGAAUGGAUGGCAUGAAUGGAAGCCAGGUGCUGUUCAGUGUGCAGAGACCCACAGCCAAAUCUGAGAUCUCCUGAGGGGAAGACUCAAGCACAACCUGUGUUUUUUCAAGGAGUUUUCUGGUUUAAAGCCCAGUUCCUCAGGAUAAAGAUGGAGCUUUCCUCAGGAUAUAGAGGGAGCUAAAUUCCUCUUUUUCCCCCUGGACAUUCAUGGAUGGUCCAUCUCAUCAUGCUGCCUUUCACAGCUGCAGUGACAGACUACAUGGAGGACAUCACUGCAAAAAAAAAAAAAAAAAAAAAAAAAGAAAAAAGAAAAAA